rnacentral:rRNA from 1 species
CCUACGGGUGGCAGCAGUGGGGAAUAUUGCGCAAUGGGCGAAAGCCUGACGCAGCGACGCCGCGUGAGGGAUGAAGGUCUUCGGAUCGUUAACCUCUGUCAGCAGGGAAGCACGGUCACUGUGCUAAUCAGCAGUGAAUUGACGGUACCUGCAAAGGAAGCACCGGCUAACUCCGUGCCAGCAGCCGCGGUAAUACGGAGGGUGCGAGCGUUAAUCGGAAUUACUGGGCGUAAAGCGCUCGUAGGCGGUAUGUCAAGUCUAGGGUGAAAUCCCCGCGCUCAACGUGGGAACGGCCUUUGAAACUGGCAAACUGGAGUGUGUGAGAGGAUAGUGGAAUUCCAGGUGUAGGAGUGAAAUCCGUAGAUAUCUGGAGGAACAUCAGUGGCGAAGGCGACUAUCUGGCACAUAACUGACGCUGAGGAGCGAAAGCGUGGGUAGCAAACAGGAUUAGAUACCCGGGUAGUC